rnacentral:rRNA from 1 species
GUCCCUUACUACUUGGAUACCUGUGGUAAUUCUAGAGCUAAUACAUGCUAAAAACCCCGACUCCGGAAGGGGUGUAUUUAUUAGAUAAAAAACCAAUGCCCUUCGGCUCUAUGGUGACUCAUAAUAACUUUACGAAUCGCAUGGCCUUGCGCCGGCGAUGGUUCAUUCAAAUUUCUGCCCUAUCAACUUUCGAUGUUUGGGUAGUGGCCAAACAUGGUGACAACGGGUGACGGGGAAUUAGGGUUCGAUUCCGGAGAGGGAGCCUGAGAAACGGCUACCACAUCCAAGGAAGGCAGCAGGCGCGCAAAUUACCCAAUCCCGACUCGGGGAGGUAGUGACAAUAAAUACUGAUGUUGGGAUCAUUUGGUUCUAGCAAUUGGAAUGAGUACAAUUUAAAUCCCUUAACGAGGAACCAUUGGAGGGCAAGUCUGUGCCAGCCGCGUAAUCAGCUCAAUAGCGUAUAUUAAAGUGUGCAGUAAAAAGCUCGUAGUGAAACUUGGGUCUGGCUGGCCGGUCCGCCUCACCGCGUGCACUGGUUCGGCCGGGCCUUUCCUUCUGGGGAACCGUCUUAAUUGGGUGUGGCGGGGAUCCAGGACUUUUACUUUGAAAAAAUUAGAGUGUUCAAAGCAGGCCUAUGCUUGAAUACAUUAGCACGGAAUAAUAGAAUAGGACGUGUGGUUCUAUUUUGUUGGUUUUUAGGACCGCCGUAAUGAUUAAUAGGGACAGUCGGGGGCGUCUGUAUUCAAUUGUCAGAGGUGAAAUUUUUGGAUUUAUUGAAGACAAAAUAUUGCGAAAGCAUUCGCCAAGGAUGUUUUCAUUAAUCAGUGAACGAAAGUUAGGGGAUCGAAGACGAUCAGAUACCGUCGUAGUCUUAACCAUAAACUAUGCCGACUAGGGAUCGGACGGUGUUAUUAUUAUGACCCGUUCGGCACCUUACGAGAAAUCAAAGUUUUUGGGUUCUGGGGGGAGUAUGGUCGCAAGGCUGAAACUUAAAGAUAUUGACGGAAGGGCACCACCAGGCGUGGAGCCUGCGGCUUAAUUUGACUCAACACGGGAAAACUCACCGGGUCCGGACACAAUAAGGAUUGACAGAUUGAGAGCUCUUUCUUGAUCUUAUGGUGUGGAGG